rnacentral:tRNA from 1 species
AUGUUUUUAGUAUAUGUAGUACAUUUACCUUCCAAGUAAAAAGAUUAAUUAAUUAAAAAACAUA